rnacentral:lncRNA from 1 species
UUCAGCUUGAUUAGGGUGAACCCGGGCACUUAGCUGUGCAGGAACAAUGGUGAGCCUUUAGCCCAAUCAGGAGCAGCAACGGAUGCCGCGCUGGAUCAGGAGCACAGCGGACACCCUGCCAGAUCUGGAGGGGUAGAAGUCAGCGGCGGGUCUGUGAUGGCGGCAUUCAGCAGUGAUGGAUGUACCAGCUGUUUGGAGGACAGCAACCUACACUGACUGCUUCCCUACCUGGUAUCAGACAUUGUGCAAGAUGCUUUGAUUCCAUGUGAUCUACUAACAACCUGUGAGGUCUUGGUUAUUGUCCUGUUUUAUGGUUAAG